UUAGAAGCAGCCACCAUUUAAAGAAAGCGUAAUAGCUCACUGAUCGAGUCGUCCUGCGCGGAAGAUGUAACGGGGCUCAAGCCAGUUACCGAAGCUGCGGAUGCACGAGCAAUCGUGCGUGGUAGGAGAGCGUUCUGUAAGCCUGUGAAGGUGUCUGGUGACGGAUGCUGGAGGUAUCAGAAGUGCGAAUGCUGACAUGAGUAGCGUUAAAGCGGGUGAAAAGCCCGCUCGCCGUAAGCGCAAGGUUUUCUACGCAACGUUCAUCGGCGUAGAGUGAGUCGGCCCCUAAGGCGAGGCAGAGAUGCGUAGCUGAUGGGAAACAGGUCAAUAUUCCUGUACCGCUCAAUAGUGCGAUGUGGGGACGAAGAAGGUUAGCUCAGCCAACUGUUGGAAUAGUUGGUUCAAGCCUGUAGUCGUGCCCGGUAGGCAAAUCCGCCGGGCUAAGAUGAGGGGUGAUAACGAGGCUGCUUGCAGCCGAAGUGAGUGAUACCCAGCUUCCAGGAAAAGCCACUAAGCUUCAGCUAUUGACGACCGUACCGCAAACCGACACUGGUGCGCGAGAUGAGUAUUCUAAGGCGCUUGAGAGAACUCAGGAGAAGGAACUCGGCAAAUUGAUACCGUAACUUCGGGAGAAGGUAUGCCCCAAGUAGGUGAACUUGAACAAAGGGAGCCCAAAGGGGUUGCAAAAAAUCGGUGGCUGCGACUGUUUAAUAAAAACACAGCACUCUGCAAACACGAAAGUGGACGUAUAGGGUGUGACGCCUGCCCGGUGCUGGAAGAUUAAGUGAUGGGGUGCAAGCUCUUGAUCGAAGUCCCAGUAAACGGCGGCCGUAACUAUAACGGUCCUAAGGUAGCGAAAUUCCUUGUCGGGUAAGUUCCGACCUGCACGAAUGG
rnacentral:rRNA from 1 species